GGAAUCCUGCUGAGAGGUGGGAGUGCCCGAAAGGGAGCCGUAACACAGGUGCUGCAUGGCUGUCGUCAGCUCGGGUCGUGAGAUGUUGGGUUAAGUCCCGCAACGAGCGCAACCCUUGUCCCUAGUUGCUACGCAAGAGCACUCUAGGGAGACUGCCGGUGACAAACCGGAGGAAGGUGGGGAUGACGUCAAGUCCUCAUGGCCCUUAUGGGUAGGGCUUCACACGUCAUACAAUGGUCGGAACAGAGGGUUGCCAAGCCGCGAGGUGGAGCCAAUCCCAGAAAACCGAUCGUAGUCCGGAUCGCAGUCUGCAACUCGACUGCGUGAAGCUGGAAUCGCUAGUAAUCGCGGAUCAGCAUGCCGCGGUGAAUACGUUCCCGGGUCUUGUACACACCG
rnacentral:rRNA from 1 species